rnacentral:lncRNA from 1 species
CUUCUCUCCACCCACUUCUUACCAAGAACUCUCUCCCUUGAAGGUGAACAACUUAAAGCCUGAGCUCAGAGAGUUACCCGAAAAGUGAUUUGAGUAUUUAUUGAACUGAAAGAACAAAUUACCUACUUCAGGCGGUGGGAAGCGUAUGGAAAUUAUAUUAGAACUUCAGCAAAGUGCACAGCCGCAUAAUACAGAAGCCGAGACUCAGAUUGACAGGCAAAUAAGCCAGCUCGUGGAAGGGGCCUCUGGGUGGCAGCUCUGGGCUAUUGGGUGUUGGACAACCAUAGGCAAACUGAAAUGGAACAGGGGCAGAAAAUAGCACACUUUAACGCUGCGCAACCGUUGCUUUCUCAUGGUCAUUAGGAAUUUUGUUGGGAUAAUCCUCCAAAUGAAUUAGAAGCAUUCUAUUCAAAUGUCUACAGAUGCACGGCUGGUGGUGUGGCUCAGACGGAGCAAGGGUUACAUCAAGGCUGUUCUCUGGACCGUGCAAACAGUCUAGACCAAUGACCUGCAGCAUCAUGCCCUUUGAAGAAGAGGCAAGUUCGGUCAUGAUGAAGAAAAAUCAAGGCGUACCCCUUUUAACAAUAGGGAGCAGCUCGAGGCUGCAAAGAGGUUAUUUAUCAUUAAAAUGGCAUUGUAAAGUGAUGACUCAGAAGUUAACAGAGUUUGUGGCCGCUUUUGAGAAAGAAAACUCUUGA